rnacentral:sRNA from 1 species
GCUAAUUUUGUAUUUUUCUUAGAGGAGGUUUUGCCACUUUGGCCAGGCUGGUCUCCAGCCUUGCAUUUUUUUGUUGUUUUGUUUGUUUGUUUGUUUGUUUUUUGAGACAGAGUUUCACUCUUGUUGCCCAGGCUGGAGUGCAAUGGUGCAAUCUCUGCUCACUGCAACCUCCACCUCCUGGGUUCAAGUGAUUCUCCUGACUCAGCCUCCCAAGUAGCUGGGAUUACAGGUGCCUGCCACCAUGCCCGGCUAAUUUUUGCAUUUUUAGCAGAGAUGGGGUUUCGCCAUUUUGGCCAGGCUGGUCUCGAACUCCUGACCUCAAGUGAUUGACCCGAUUCUGCCCCUCAAAGUGCUGGGAUUACAGGCAUGAGCCCCUGUGCCCGGCCCAGCCUGUGUUUUGAGCAUUCCACGGCUGCUGGAAGACCUGUUGUCUGCUGAAAUCUUCAUAUUCACCACUCUUCUGAUUUCAGUACCUCCCCUCCAAACAACAUUACCAGGGUGGUUAAUGUGCAAAUAGAGAUGGUGAUUUGCUGCUGACCUUGUGCAAACGUUAAUAAUUCACACAAGCACCUCUCGUUUAUAAUUAGAGCAGGCUGGAACACAGCACCAUGUGACUUGCAUUCUUAUCAGUAGGCCUUUACCUGGGCAGCGAGGGCCCAGCUUUCUGGCUGGCUCUGUCCCUCAUCCUCCAUUGUGCUGCUUGUGAAACUGUGUUCUGAGUGACCCAUCUCAUGGCUCUCUCUGUGUUCUUGUUUGCAGGAUGAUGAUGGGCCGGUUCGGUAAGUAACCCCGGGGAAAGUGGGGAGACGGAGGCAUGUUAGGGCUCCCCCAGGAAGCUCCCAGAGAGUGUACAUGGUUAUCUGGAGGGAGUGGGAAACUAGAUGGGUCUCACUGCCCCCAUAGUUCUGGAAUCCUAGAGAAAGUGCACAGCCCACCCCCACCUUUCCGUAUAACGGGCUUGUUUCUCAGAGCUGAGAGUGGCUGGGUUGUGCUAGGAGGAGUGGGGUGGAAGGCUGGGUGACCAGCUAGGGGAGCAGGAGGGGCCUGGGAUGUAACACUGGCUGGAACUGUCAGGGGCUGGAGCAAGAGUGGUUGAGGGUAAAAGGGAGGGAGGAGAGGCGUCCAGCACAUGGAGCAUCGUUAGCUGGCUGGAAGAGAGGGGCUCAGCUCUGUGGAUAUCCUUCCAUGUGUAUUAUUUCCUCCUGGAAACCACUGGUUUAGCAGACUUCCUUAGAGUCAGGCAGCCAGGGCUCAUUCCUGGCUGGUGGCUUGUGGCCUGCCCCUUCCUCUCUCUGCUCCUCAUCCGUGAAAUGGGAGUGUAAAAGGCUCUCCCCAGGCAGGGGCUGCUGUGAGUAUUGGGUGAGAUCACAGGUGAGUGCCCUGCUUGGCCGGGGGACAGCCCUCUAUGUGGGGUGGUUUUAUUAGUGUUGGUUUUCAGUGGCUCUUCCCAAAGAGAGAGAGGUAAUCACUCUCUCUUCCCUCAUUAAAGCCUGAGACCUCAUCUUCAUCUCGCUGAGGGAUGGUAACGUUUCAACCCUCAGUACCAGGAUACCCCGGCCCUCGGCCUGGCCAGCCUCAGUGCUUUGGGAAGCAUUUCAAAAGAGAAACCUCUUGACCCCCAGAUACCCUGUUCUCCAGUGAGCAGGGAGGGGAGAACAGCUCUUAAAAGGAAAAAUGGAAACCAGAUAGAAGUUUCCCACCUGCCUCUCUAGCGGAGCUGAUAUCUGUCUUUUGGGGGCCCUCUGGGUGGGGGUGCCACCCCCUGAGUCCUAUACAAUGAGGGCUGGGCCAGCUUGGCCAUGGGGCUCUGUAAACUCAAGUUAUUAUGGGGACCAGCUAGGAUGCCAUUGCUGCUUAUCUAUUGUAUUAGGGUUCUCUAGAGGGACAGAACUAAUACGAUAGAUAGAUAUAUAUAAAGGGGAGUUUACUAAGGGUAUUAACUCACACGAUCACAAGGUCCCACAAUAGUCCUUCUGCAAGCUGAGGAGCAGGGAAGCCAGUUUGAGUCCCAAAGCUGUAGAACCUGGAGUUUGAUGUUCCAAGGCAGGAAGCAUCCAGUAUGGGAGAAAGAUGGAGGCUGGGAGACUAAGCCAGUCUAGUCUUUUCAUGUUCUUCUGCCUGCUUUUUAUUUUGGCUGUGCUGGCAGCUGAUUAGAUGGUGCCCACCUAGAUUAAGGGUGGUCUGCCUUUUCCAGUCCACAGAUUCAGAUGUUAAUCUCCUUUGGCAACACCCUCACAGACACACCCAGGAACCACACCUUGCACCCUUCAAUCCAAUCAAGCUGACAGUAUUAACCAUCACGCCUGUGGAGAGGGGAAGUGGCUCAGAUCCUGCGGGGCUUGAAUUGAGAAGAUGCAGCCAGUGUGUCCCCCCUAGGCUUUCUUUACUAGACCUUAAGCUGUGCUGGGAACAUUCACAGGCCUUCUCUGUUUUUUGUUUGUUUGUUUGUUUGUUUUUAAGGAGAAUUCCAGCUCUUUUAAAAUGUCUCUAUUAUUAAACAACAAAUGCAGGAAGAGAAAGAGAAACAUCCUGUAUAUAGUUGCUGAGGGAGGCGAAACCGCAGUGGGGUCACAGCUCAUGGGGCCGGGGUGAGGCGUCUCCCCACCCUGUGUCUAGGUAGAGGCGCGUUUUGGGGGCACAGUGCCCCCCUCUGUCACCUCCUCUCCAUCCUUUCUUCCUGGAGGAGGCUCAGAACCCCUUUGGAAUUGUAGAAGCCUAAAGAUGAGGAGAGGGCCGGGCGCGGUGGCUCAUGCCUUUAAUCUCAGCACUUUGAGAGGCCGAGGUGGAUGGAUCAUGAAGUCAUGAGAUCGAGACCAGCCUGGCUAACAUGGUGAAACCCCGUCCCUACUAAAAAUACAAAAAAAUUAGCCGGGCGUGGUGGUGGGCACCUGUAGUCCCAGCUACUCGGGAGGCUGAUGCAGGAGAAUCGCUUGAACCCAGGAGGUGGAGGUUGCAGUGAGCCGAGAUUGCGCCACUGCACUCCAGCCUGAGUGACAGAGCAAGACUCCGUCUCAAAAAAAAAAAAAAAAAAAAAAAAAAAAAAAAAAAAAAAAAAAAAGAUGAGAGUGGGCCCCUCAAGCAUUUUUGAGUCUUUUUGUUUUUUUGUGGCGCUGUCACUUUUGUGUUUGGUUCGGGCCUUGUUGGAGGUUUAGGGAAAAGACAGUCUGUUCAGUUCAGUUGGGAGCACAUGGGCCUCAGGCUGUGUAUAGCACCCUGUGGCCCGAGGGCCCAGAAGCCUGGCCCCGGAGCCCCUGCCACCCCAUGAAUGAGCUUUAGGGUCUGAUGGCUGGGGCAGUGGCUCCUUAGGUAAGAGCCAGGUGUCACAUGUGAAAAGUGGACCCAGCUGCCACUCCAGGGGUGGGAGGACUGUGGAAUCGUAAGACCACGUACAAGAGGCCGAUGGAAUUGUUCUCGUUACUUUGUAGGCUUUAUGUGCUGUGCUUGAGAAAAUGCAAACAGGCUAUUAGUCGGUGACAGGCAAUUAGUUCCGCCCCCGGCCUUGCUGCUUCUGCUGACGCAGGUUCCGAAGUCUCCUGGUUACCCAGCCUGGCACCCUCAGGCACAGCAGGGUGUCUGGCCCGGCACCCGCCCCUGUGGGGGCAGCAGCACGCCUUGUCUUGGCUUCCCUGCCAUGCCAUUCCCCUCCUUCAGCCCCCGAGAGCACCCCAGGGUGCUCUCUCCUCCAGCAACCUUCACCUGAAUGCUCUCCCUCUAGAUUACCCCAUGGCUCACUCUUUCAGCUCUGCCAGCUCUUGGUUCAAAUGUCACUGAUCAGGGAGGCCCUCUCUGACUCCACUGCCCCAAACUGGCCUCCACUGGCUCUCCUCCCCACCCCUGCCUUAGUGCUUUCUGUACUCAUGUGACACACCAAGCAGCACUCAGCUCAUGGGGAUGGCCUGGCUCCUCUUCCCUGUGCCAGUGUUUACACAACGAAGCUUGCACGUGUCUGGCAGACACUGGUGCCAGCAAACUUUCAGGGGCACCCACAGCCCCUGCCUUUCUCCUUUCACACAUGGCUCCUUGACCCAGAGGUGCUCUGUGGGCUGGAGCUGACCCUUCCUCGGGGUGCACCCCACCCCCUGCCAAAGCAGCCAGCCCUGGCCACAGUCUGCACGCAGCUGGGGCAGAUGUUUUAGGAGCUUCUGGAAGGCCGGGCAGACCCUCCUUGGCUAAUGUGCUGGGCUUUGCCAGGAGUGGUCUUCUGGGCCUCAGUUUCCCCACGAGUACCCUGACCCAGGGAGGGAUGGGGACUCCGUUCUGCCCACUCCCCAUCAUUCCGAGGAGGGAGGUGGCUCCACAGGUCCUCGCUGCCUCCUGACAGCAUCACUGUCCUGGAUGAGGUGGGUGAGGAGGCUUCUCUCCACGGAAACAAGUCUCAGGGGAUCCAGGGAGGUUGCAGCCUGGUCUCCAUGGCAACGGGUGAGCUGGUGCGGCUUCUCCGCGGGCGGCCCUUCCCCCUCCUGGGCCUGCCCUGGGCUGGAGGCUCUUCCUGAGGCAGAGGGGAAAGAAGGGGGAUGUGCCUUCCUCACUCUCUUCCCCCUCAUUGUAACUCCUAGUAAUUCCCCUUCACGUCUCUCCCAUUUCUGCCAACAGGGCUUGUUCCAAAACCUCUGGCUCCAUCCCAUCACCCGUGGCUCCUGACUGUGCCCUCCAUAACUCCCACGUUGCAGGCCACAGCCCCUGUUAACCCCUCUCACAGUCCACCCGGCUCUUGAACCUGUGCUGGGCUUUCUGGCAUCUCUCUCUCCUUGUGCCUGCUGGUCCCUCGGUGGAGCGCCUUUCCUCCUCCUCUUGCCCCAGCAAGCCUGGCUUGAACCCCAGGACUGCUUUGUGAAGCCUUCCUCAGGUCCCCCCAGCCCUUGGUUCAUGGGUCCCAGACUCAGGUGUCUCCAGGGACCAGGCUGAUAAUGUAAAAGAGGAGAGUGUCUAGAUUAUGCAAUGAUAAUGUCAUCUGCCCCUUCACCCCAGGGCUGGGUGGCAGUGGGGAGUGGUGGGGUCUGGCGCAAACUGGAGAGUCCACACCCCCAUCCCCAGGGGCAGCUUAUUGCUGCCAGGUGGGAGUGCAGGCUCACUGUUGCCACAGCCUCCAGUUCUUCAAGAGAAGCCAGAAGUUCAGAACUUUUGGACAAACUUUCCAAUUUAAGAACUGUUGACUCUUGCCGGGUACCGUGGCUCACACCUGUAGUCCCAGCACUUUGGGAGGCUGAGGCGGGUGGAUUACUUGAGGUCAGGAGUUCAAGACCAGCCUUACCAACAUGGCGAAACCCCGUCUCUACUAAAAAUACAAAAAUUAGCCAGGUGUGGUGGUGCACGCCUGUAGUCCCAGCUAUUCAGGAGGUUGAGGCAGGAGAAUUGCUUGAACCCGGGAGGCAGAUGUUGCAGUGAGCCGAGAUCACACCACUGCACUCCAGCCUGGGUGACAGAGUGAGACUCUGUCUCAAAAAGCCUAAAGACCAAAACAAAACAAAACAAAACAAAUGAAAACUGUUGACUCAAAUCAAAACAUUACAGGGACCAAGCUGAGCAUUCCUGCAGAUUGAGCUUGGGCAGCCCUGGCAUAUGGUCAGGUCGGUUGGCCCCCGUCUGGCUUCCUCUUUUCUGACACUAACAGUGUUGCAAGAUCAUAGUUUACUCCCUCUCCAGGCCCUCCCCCAAGUCUGUGCCUCUUCCAAGAGCGGAGUCCCUCCUUGUUUAUCUCUGUGAUGUCCCCAGAGCCUGCGGAGGCUCUGGGGGACAGGACGAGCGGGAGCUGUAAGGACUGAGGACUGACAAUGCUCCUGCCAGGCUCCGUGCUCCUGCCUCUACUCACUGCCCCACUUAGUUCCACACCAAGAGCGAGGCAGGGGCUGUGAGAAUGCUGCCUUUAUGGAGGAAGAAAGGGGGUUGGAGAGGGAAGGAUUUGCCCAGUCAUGGGGUGUGAAGUGGGGCAGCUAGAACAAAAUAGGAUCUAUUUUCGUUCCCAAGGCCAAGCACAUCACAGGGGUGCAGUAUGCUGUCUCUGUCUCUCUCUCUCCCCUAGGUCAGGGUGGUCCCUGGGGAGGCCCCUGGGUUACCCCAAGACAGGUGGGAGGAGCUUCCUACCCUACCCUCUUCCUGUCAAGCUGGGCUCUGUGGCUCCCAGGGCUGCUCCUUGUAUUGGGGCCCCAGCCUGGCUGGUAACAGAGGGUCCCUCCACUGGGCUCAGUCUUCUGAGCAUGCUCUGCCCCCAGGAACCUGGAGGAUGGAAGUUGGGGGCCCUGGGUCCCUUCCAAAUGCCCUUGGGUCCUGUGCCUGGUCCCCAGUGCCCAUUUUCAGAGCCCCUGGCCCCUCCCUGCCUUGUGGACUGUGUGACGUGAUGCCAGUCCCCUGGGUCCAGGGGCAUGGCAGCCGGCGGAGAGGCCUCUGCAGCACCGAUGUCUCCUUGAGUGGCUUGACUCUGCCAGCCCAGCGGUGGCCCAGCUAAAUAUACCCUGGCUGACGUCAAGCACUCUUCUGCUCCUGGGGUUUUUCUUAAGCUGCAUUUAUAGUUUGCGUAUUGCUUUGUAAAGAUGUAAAAAUUUCACUUUUUUUUUUUUUUUGCCCCUUAGCAGACUGUCUUAUUGAGUGUAGUCUUAGAUGAUUACAAAAAUCAUUUACAGCUGCUGCAUUAGGAAGCUGGCGUGUGUCCAGAGGCAGGGCAUUUUGGUCAAUGUUGGUCUUUAGGUGAAGAAAACUUCCCUCCCCUCCCCCAGUCACACACAUGCUCACACACGCGCACACACGCUCACACACGCGCACACACGCUCACACGUGCUCACACGUGUACACACGCUCACGCACACACAUGCUCUCACACGCCUUCACACGCACACACGUGCUCACACACGCACACGUGCACACAGGUGCUCACACGCACACACACGCUCACGCACGCGCACACGUGCUCACACGCACACAUGCUCACACACGUGCACACGUGCCCACACAUGCACACAAUGCUCACACACGCUCACACGCACACGCUCACACACGUGCACACACGCUCACACGUGCUCACACGUGUACAUACGCUCACACAUGCUCACACACGCCCUCACACACACGUGCUGACACACACACGUGCGCACACGUGCUCACACACACACACGCUCACACACGCAGUGCACACAUGCACACACGUGCUCACACACGCACACAUGCUCACACGCACACACGUGCCCACACAUGCACACACAUGCUCACGCGUGCACACACACGUACACAUACACUUUCCUUCUCUCCUUUCCUCUUUGUUUCUCACCACCUCCACAAGGCCACGGAAGAGGCUACUUGGGCUGGGCUGGGCAGGGGGGUGUGAGCUGCCUCCUGGGGCCCAGCCUGGGAGGAAGGGUCAGCAUGCUUCCUCUGGGAGGAGGCCUGGCCGACUUCUCUCCCUAGGUCUCUGGCUUACCUGGGCCUAAUCCCUUCCUUCUUUUUCUGGGCUCUCUUUGUCUCUCUCCUAGGCCAGGGCGGUCCCUGAGGAGGCUCCCCUAGGCCACCCACUAGACGGGCGGGAGGAGCUUCCUACCCCACUCUCUCCCUGUCAAGCUGGGCUCCGCAGCUCCCAGGGCUGCUCCUUGGGUUGGGGCCCCAGCCUGGCUGGUAAAAGAGGGUCUCUCUGCUGGGCUUGGUCCUCUGAACAUGCUCGGCCUCCAGAAACCUGGAGGAUGGAAGUUGGGGGGCCCUGGGCCCCUUCCAAAUGCCCUCCUCCCUGUCUCUUCUGCCCUGGCAGUGAUGCCCCACAGCUCUGUGUCUACCUGGAGACCUCAGCCCUCUGCUUGGGGUCCAAGUCUCUGUUCCAUAUACCCCUAUGGAACUCCCCCCUCCAUGGCAGCAGGAGCAAAGGCUCUGAGGCAAGUGUGCACCAGUGUCAGCAGGAGCAGCUGGGAGGCCGGUUGGUGGAGUGAAGUCAGGGAGGGUGCGUGUAGGAGGAUAACGCUGAGUCUGAGUGUCCCAUGGCACGUGGGAGAGAGGAUGGAUUUUAUCUGAGUGUCCCAUGGCUCGCAGUAGAGAAGAUAGAUUUUAUUCUAAGCAUGAUAAGAAGCAGUUGGAGGGUUUUAGUUGUGGUGGGAGUGGAGGGGGGAAACAAAUGAUCCUGUUUGCACUUGGAAGGGCUCACUCUGCCUGCUGGGGAGAAGGGCUCAGGGGCCAGGAGUGGAGUAGGAGGCUGCAGCUGCUCCCAGGCGAGGGGCAGUGAGGCGCGAGCAGGACAUGGCCACUGUCGCGGGGGAAGUGGUUGGAUUCACAGGUGACAUUUGCCAGUAGACAAGGAGUGUGGGAACAGGGAGAAUUCAGGACGCCUCAAGUCCUAGGACGUGGCAGGGGCAGAUGCCAGAUGCCAUCUAUGUGUUUCAUAUGAGAAGGUAAAAAGCAGGUGGAAGGGACCCUCUGCAGCCUCUAGUCCACGCUGUUCUGGUUGUUCCCAAGCGCUCUUGCUCGCCUUGGUUUGGCCGGGACUGAUCAUCAGGGUCAGCCCUUUCAUUCUGGUAGGAAUUGGAAGGAUUCUAGGCAGGUGUGGGAGUUGAGGCUGAACCUCCUGAGGGGUCAGAAGCUGGCAGGUUCCUGGAUUAGGGCAGCACCGCGGGUUUCCAUAAACGCUCCUUCGUGUCUCUCUUUGCAUGUCCUCAGAGCGGGAUGCCUUCGACACGCUGUUCGACCACGCCCCGGAUAAGCUCAGCGUGGUGAAGAAGGUGAGCUAUUGGUGGGAUGUUGGAUGUGCUCUCCCCUGGCUCGUGGCUUUUUGACAGCACAAACGCCCCGCUGGGAAGAAGGUGGGAAAAUGUUUGGAAUCUCAGAAAUGUUUGCCACAUGGAUUGAAAUGUAAUUACAGUCAAAAACCUAACCACAGUGCAUAAAAUUAGCGCCUUUUAACUCAACCUUGCUGCUCCCUGGGUGUCUUCCUGCCCGCCCGCUCCACUUCUGUUAAGUGAAUUACCCAGCCCCCAUUUCUUUCUGACUCGAGGCCUUUUUUCAAUGUGGAAAUGUUUUUAAGCAUGUCAGCCUGCUGCUCUCGCUGGCCUCAUUUACCAUCUACAGCCUGCCCAGUAAACACGCAGGCCUGUGCGGCUGAGCUGUGCCAUGCAUGGAUUUGGCCCGUUUCCCUCCAGACAGAGAAUGGGCCCUCACUAGCCCAGGCAGCCUGCUGGUCAAUCUGUGGAUGGAAAAAUCUCCGAGGCUCUGGAGUUGGGGGCUGGGUGUGAUCAGCUUCUGGGGGAUCUGCCAGGGAGGCUUGUUCCCGUCAAAAGGAACUGGAGCCCACUGGCUGCUCAUUAACUUAUCCGAGUGCCUGCAGGCAUCCCAUUCAGGAGGCUGCUGCAUCCCUCCUUCCCAUAACAUCGGAGGAGCGCUCAUUUCAACCCAUGGUGCAGGCAAGAGAGUUCUCCUUUGUCUAGGACAGCUUACCCAAACAGCUUUCUUAGUGCAAGACUUGUCAGAACCUUUAAUAGGCUGACCUAUACUGUACUUCUCCAAGAGGGAGCUUGGUAGGAAGCAUUUUUCCAACUUGUUUGUUUAUAGUGGGAUUUAUUUAGCUAUCAAUUUUGGGGUAGGACGCAUUGUAUUUUAGUGGAACCCACUUUUGGAAAAUGUUGGCCUGGGUUUGGACGAUGAGAUCAUUCAUUUUUGGAAGCAUUUUGUAAAAGGCUGUUGGAACCGUGCUAAUGGUCCUUCUGGGACAAAGCCUUCCUAGCACUCUCGGGUGGUGAGGGAUAUACUUGGAGCCUCAGAGUCCCCCACUUCCACCUCGUCAAUGUGGCCCCCAGGGACCCUGACAGAACCGGUUCGGGGAAUGAAUCAAAUCCAGCUUCCCCACUUAUCAGCUGUGUGACUUCUGGCGAAGGGCGAGAUUAUACCCCCCAGCCUCAGUUUCCCCAUCUGUCAAGUGGGGACAGAGAUGUUACCCACCUCUCAGGGCACUGUGAGGAUAAACUGGGAUUCUGUCUGUGCAUGGGCUUAGCCGGCAGCGUAUAGUCACUGGUAGCAUUGAGAAUGGUGUGGCCUGAGGUUGCUUUCAUCUCUCGGUAGAUACCACGUUAAUUCAUUCUGCGAAAGACACAUUUUCGGCACUGGAGCCACCAGCAAGGAAGAAGACAGAAUCCUUUGAUUUGCCUGGUAGCUUCCCACUCCAGCCUGUCCCUUCCUCACCUCCACAUUGCAAGUUUAGGUGUCUGUAGCUCUCUGUGCCCCAGAAUGAAGUCAGGGGCCCCUGCCCACCUCUGCAGGUUUCUCCCUGGGUCGUCCCCUCCUACUCCUUCCCAUCCCACCCACAUCCAGCCACAGCCUGAAGACCCCAAAGGGUUUGCAGAUGUGUCUGGGUGCCCACUCGGCUCACUCUCACCUUGCACUGGCCCACCCUCAGGCCCAGCUCCAAUGCUCCCUCUCCAUGGUCUUAACGGGGGUCCGCACACCCGUUAGUGGCUCAUGAAAUCUCCCCUGCAUUGCGUGUUUCCCUGCAGUGCCCUAUCUCUUGACUUAUCCGUCCCACCACUACACGCAUAUGGAGAAUUACAUCACAGGCCCUUUGGCGGGGGCCAGGGGUGGAGCUCUCUGACUGUGUUUGUGUCCUUAGCACCAAGCAGCAUGCCUGGCACAUAGUAGCUGCUCAGUAAAUUUGAGCAGAAUGGGUAAGAAAUCAUAUCAUGGGCAGGCUGGGCGCGGUGGCUCACGCCUGUAAUCCUAGCACUUUGGAAGGCCGAGGUGGGUGGAUCACAAGGUCAGGAGAUCGAGACCAUCCUGGCUAACAUGGCAAAAACCCGUCUCUACUAAAAAAUACAAAAAAAAUUAGGUGGGCAUGGUGGUGGGCACCCUUAGUCCCAGCUACUCGGGAGGCUGAGGCAGGAGAAUGGCGUGAACCCGGGAGGUGGAGCUUGCAGUGAGCCGAGAUUGCGCCACUGCACUCCAGCCUGGGCAACAGAGCAAGACUCCGUCUCAAAACAAAACAAAACAAAGAAAUCAUGUCAUGGGCAGUGGUGGAUGAUACUGAGUUUCCAUCAAAGUUGGGUUUGGUCACUGAGGAAUUACAGGUGACAGGUUUUAAGCUUGUGCCGGAGAGAAGCCAGUGCCCCUUGGUACCUACAUAAUAGGGCUCAGAGAGAUCACCCUGGGUGGAUCUCCCCAUGUAUUGCAAAUCGAUAGGCAGGCUGGGCACCGUGGCUCACACCUAUAAUUUCAGCACUUUGGGAGGCCAAAGUGGGUGGAUCACCUGAGGUCUAGAGUUCGAGACCAGCCUGAUCAGCAUGGAGAAACCCCAUUUCUACUAAAAAUACAAAAUUAGCCGGGCUUGGUGACGGGUGCCUGUAAUCCCAACUACUCGGGAGGCUGAGGCAGGAGAAUCGCUUGAACCUAGGAGGUGGAGUUUGCAGUGAGCCAGGAUCAUGCCAUUGCACUCUAGCCGGGGCACCAAAAGCUCGGAUGAUCCUCAGUGGUCUGGGGUGCAGGCUUCAAACCUGUAGCUGUCUAGCGACAGAGUGGUUCAAUUCCACCUUUGUAGGCCCGGCGCAGUGGCUCACGCCUGUAAUCCCAGCACUUUGGGAGGCCGAGGCGGGUGGAUCACGAGGUCAGGAGAUCGAGACCAUCCUGGCUAACACAGUGAAACUCCAUCUCUACUAAAAAUACAAAAAAAUUAGCUGGGCGUGGUGGCGGGCGCCUGUAGUCCCAGCUACUCGGGAGGCUGAGGCAGGAGAAUGAUGUGAACCUGGGAGGCAGAGCUUGCAAUGAGCCGAGAUGACGCCACUGCACUCCAGCCUGGGCGACAGAGUGAGACUCUGUCUCAAAAAAAAAAAAAAAAAAAAAAAAAAACUCAGUAGGUGUGGCUCAAGGCAGCACUUUCCUCAGUCUUCUGAGUGUGCCGUUUACCGUUCCAGGUCACACCUAAGAUACAUUUGCAAAUGUAAUGAUCCUCCCCUGGCAGUUUCAUCUUUCUUAAGAGCACAGAGUGCUCUCCAGUAUGAUUGUUAAAUAUGGCAUGCGUGCAUGGAUUGGCAUAUGUGUGCAUGGGUUGGUGAGCAGAGACAUGUGUAGCCAGGAUAGAUGUGGGCAUUAUGCCAUGAAAACUAGGGGCUACUGUCAGGAUGUUGAGUUUGAAACAUGGGCUUUUUAUUUUAGCAAACAGGAGAUGAUGAAAGCGUUUCACAGAGCUGGGGCUGGCAAAUGUCAAGCCUGCCCCUCCAGAUGGGACCUGCAUGCGGGCCAUUCAUGGCUCCUGUGUCUCUUUUAUUCUUGGCAGUCUCUCAUCACUUUUGUGAACAAGCACCUGAACAAGCUGAAUUUGGAGGUGACGGAACUGGAGACCCAGGUAUGUGCUGCUUUGGCUUGAAGGAUCCUUUGUCCACCGCCAUUUUCAGUCAGUGUUUUGAUCCCAGGUGGGGCGCGUGAACAAAGCUGGCGCCAUUUUGUUCAUCUCACAAGGAACUCCCGUGGUGCAGGCAGAAAUAACCACCGUGGCCUUCUCAGCCCCUCUGUCUUCCUUUCCUGGGGCUGCUGCCACAAAGCACCACAAACCUAGUGGCUGAAACAACAGACCUUUGUGUCCUCGAAGUGCUGGAGGCCUGAAGUCCAAAAUCAAGGUGGGGCCCGGGCGGGUUCCCUCCAAGGCUGUGAGGGAGUAGCUGUUCCUGGCCUCCCUCCCAGCUUCUGUGGUUUUGCCGGGAUCUUUAGCAUUCCUUGGCUUGUACACACAUCACUCCCUUCUCUGCCUUCAUCUUCAUGUGGUGUCGUCCUUGUGUGUGUGUCUCUGUGUCCAAAUGUCCCCCUUUUAUCAGGACGUGGUCAUGUUGGAUUAGAGCCCACCCAUGGCUUCACCCCAACCUGACUGCAUCUAUGUAAACCCUGUUUCCAGAUACGGUCACAUUCAGAGGUCCUGGUGAUUAGGGUUCCACUGUAUCUUUUUUUUUUUUUUUUUUUUUUUUAAAGACAGAGUCUCACUCUGUCACCCAGGCUGGAGUGCAGUGGCGUGAUCUUGGCUCACUGCAACCUCCACCUCCCGGGUUCCAACGAUUCUCCUGCCUCAGCCUCCCGAGUAGCUGGGACUACAGGUGCAUCCCACCAUGCCCAGCUAAUUUUUGUAUUUUUAGUAAAGACGGGGUUUCACCAUGUUGGCCAGGAUGGUCUCGAUCUCCUGGCCUCAUGAUCUGCCUGCCUCAGCCUCCCAAACACUGUAUCUUUUUUUGGGAGACACAAAACCCCAAAACACCUGGGUGGUGUUAUUCAACCCAUAACACACUCCAGGGCUCCACCCCAGCCCAACACAGGGCCUUUGCACACGCAGUUCCUCUGUCUAGAACGUGCUGGCCCCUUCAGCCUCUGCUCAGUGCUGCUGUCACACUGUGGCCAGGACCUAGCAAAUGUCCCCCUGGUAAGUAUGUACAACACAUUUCUUCUGCAAUAAGUAUAUCAAGUCUACUUCCCCAGCCCCGACCCCUACUCAAAGCUAAAGGAGCAUCCUUAAAUUAUGUUUUUGGGCACUCCGCGAGCAUUAAAGACAAAAUAUGAUUUUCCCAGGAUUAGCAGGGUGCUUGAAUGUGGAGGUUUUUGAGCUCUUGGUACAGACAUCCCUAAUGCACAGCUGAUCUUUCUUAAACCCCAAGGUGAAUGCAUUCAUUCCCUUCUCUUUCUUUAGCUUUUCUCAUUUGCUUUUCUAAUUAAAAAAGUAAUUCAGGUUCAUUGUAGAAAUGUCUGAAAAUGCAGAUAAGCAAAACAAAUAAAAAUCACCCAUAAUCCCGUCACCCGGAGAUGAAUGCACAGAGGGUUUUGUUCGGGCCUUUUCUCUACACAUACAGCGAGUCAUGGACAGCGUGGGUCUGUAUAUAAAAGCAUCACAGUCUGUUUUUAAUGUGUAUAUUUAUUUGUGUAUCGUUGGCCAACACAUUUCUUGUUUUCCGCAGUUUACAAAUGUUGCACAUUUAGCCUCAGAUUAUUUUCUGUUUGAGACGUUAGCACCCCAGAAGCCGCUGAGGUGAAAAGUAAAAAUCUUCCUUUCUCCUUUUCUGGAGACCUCCCCCUUCAGACUCUCCAGGGGCAGCUAACUGCAGUUCAUGGUUGGAUGUGUAUUUUUCUAGAUAUUUUCUUUUUCUUUCUUCCUUUUUUUUGAGACAGAGUCUCACUCUGUCCCCCAGGCUGGAGUGCAGUGACACAAUCUCAGCUCACUGCAACCUCCACCUCCUGGGUUCAAGCAAUUCUCCUCCCUCAGCCUCCUGAGUAGCUGGGACUACAGGUGCGCCUCACCAUGCCUGGCUAAUUUUUUUGUAUUUUUAGUAGAGAUGGGGUUUCACCAUGUUGGUCAGGCUGGUCUCGAACUCCUGACCUUGUGAUCCACCUGCCUCAGCCUGCCAAAGUGUUGCGAUUACAGGUGUGAGCCACAUUUUCUAU